UACGGAGGGUGCAAGCGUUAUCCGGAUUCACUGGGUUUAAAGGGUGCGUAGGCGGGCAGGUAAGUCAGGGGUGAAAUCUUCGAGCUUAACUCGGAAACUGCCUUUGAUACUAUCUGUCUUGAAUACCUUGGAGGUGAGCGGAAUAUGUCAUGUAGCGGUGAAAUGCUUAGAUAUGACAUAGAACACCAAUUGCGAAGGCAGCUCACUACACGGUCAUUGACACUGAGGCACGAAAGCGUGGGGAUCAAACAGG
rnacentral:rRNA from 1 species